GAGUUUGAUCAUGGCUCAGGACGAACGCUGGCGGUGCGCCUUAUGCAUGCAAGUCGAGCGAAGCUUUUCAGUAGUUUACUACAGAAAAUGACUGAGCGGCGAACGGGUGAGUAACGCGUGAGCAACCUACCUUAGUUACUGGGAUAGCCCGAGGAAACUCGGAUUAAUACCGGAUAUUCUUAUUUAAUCACAUGAUUUUUUAAGGAAAGGUCAGCCGAACUAAGAUGGGCUCGCGUUCUAUCAGCUAGUUGGUAGGGUAAUGGCCUACCAAGGCUACGACGGAUAGCUGGUCUGAGAGGACGAUCAGCCACACUGGGACUGAGACACGGCCCAGACUCCUACGGGAGGCUGCAGCAGGGAAUAUUGCGCAAUGAGCGAAAGCUUGACGCAGCGACACCGCGUGUGGGAUGACGGAUCUAGGUUUGUAAACCACUUUCAGGAGGGAAGAAAAUGACGGUACCUCCACAAGAAGCCCCGGCCAACUACGUGCCAGCAGCCGCGGUAAUACGUAGGGGGCGAGCGUUGUCCGGAUUUAUUGGGCGUAAAGAGCUCGUAGGCGGUUCAACAAGUCGGUCGUGAAAGUUCAGGGCUCAACCCUGAAAUGUCGAUCGAUACUGUUGUGACUAGGAUACGGUAGAGGUGAGUGGAAUUCCGAGUGUAGCGGUGAAAUGCGUAGAUAUUCGGAGGAACACCAGUUGCGAAGGCAGCUCACUGGGCCGCUAUCGACGCUGAGGAGCGAAAGCUAGGGGAGCAAACAGGAUUAGAUACCCUGGUAGUCCUAGCUGUAAACGAUGGAUACUAGACGUA
rnacentral:rRNA from 1 species